UAGGGAAUCUUCCACAAUGGACGAAAGUCUGAUGGAGCAACGCCGCGUGAGUGAUGAAGGGUUUCGGCUCGUAAAACUCUGUUGUUGGAGAAGAACAGGUGUGAGAGUAACUGUUCACAUCUUGACGGUAUCCAACCAGAAAGCCACGGCUAACUACGUGCCAGCAGCCGCGGUAGUACGUAGGUGGCAAGCGUUGUCCGGAUUUAUUGGGCGUAAAGCGAGCGCAGGCGGUUUCUUAGGUCUGAUGUGAAAGCCUUCGGCUUAACCGGAGAAGUGCAUCGGAAACCAGGAGACUUGAGUGCAGAAGAGGACAGUGGAACUCCAUGUGUAGCGGUGAAAUGCGUAGAUAUAUGGAAGAACACCAGUGGCGAAGGCGGCUGUCUGGUCUGUAACUGACGCUGAGGCUCGAAAGCAUGGGUAGCGAACAGGAUUAGAUACCCUGGUAGUCCAUGCCGUAAACGAUGAGUGCUAAGUGUUGGAGGGUUUCCGCCCUUCAGUGCUGCAGCUAACGCAUUAAGCACUCCGCCUGGGGAGUACGACCGCAAGGUUGAAAC
rnacentral:rRNA from 1 species